AUUGAACGCUGGCGGCAUGCCUUACACAUGCAAGUCGAACGGCAGCACGGGUGCUUGCACCUGGUGGCGAGUGGCGAACGGGUGAGUAAUACAUCGGAACGUACCUUAUCGUGGGGGAUAACGCAGCGAAAGCUGUGCUAAUACCGCAUACGCCCUGAGGGGGAAAGCGGGGGAUCGCAAGACCUCGCGCGAUUAGAGCGGCCGAUGCCUGAUUAGCUUGUUGGUGGGGUAAAAGCCCACCAAGGCGACGAUCAGUAGCUGGUCUGAGAGGACGAUCAGCCACACUGGGGCUGAGACACGGCCCGGACGCCUACGGGAGGCCGCAGUGGGGAAUUUUGGACAAUGGGGGCAACCCUGAUCCAGCAAUGCCGCGUGAGUGAAGAAGGCCUUCGGGUUGUAAAGCUCUUUUGUCAGGGAAGAAACACCGGCUCUAACACAGUCCGGGAAUGACGGUACCUGAAGAAUAAGCACCGGCUACUACGUGCCAUCCGCCGCGGUAA
rnacentral:rRNA from 1 species